CCCGAAUGCUGCGCGUGCGCAGUCUACAAAAGGCCUCGGAAAAUCGGCGCAGGUUAGAAAUUUGAAGGAAUUUGUCUACGGGAAUCUCAAACACAACACCCCAGUUUUGCUGUCUCUGUCCAGAUAUUUAAGAAGUGGAACAAGGGAUUCACUCGAUCAUCCUUCCUGCUCAGACUGUGGGGUGGGAUUCACUCGUUCAUCUGACCGACUGGCAUGCAUGUCAUUUUACACGGGAGAGGACGUUCACCUACUCAGACAGUGGGAAUGGUUUCACUGGGUCAUCUCAAUUGAAGAGUCGGCUCCGUGUUGGCACAGUUGAAUAUCACGUUGAUGCUACCAGGAUUAGAGCAAUCAAAAAGAAGAGAAAACCAGCAGAUGCGAGAAAUGACAAAAACACAACCUCGGCAAUAACUACGCAGGCCACGAAGCAUCUCUGAAAAAUGAGUAAAUAGUCGAUGUUUUGGGUUAAAACGCUUUAACAGGGCGUUUCAUUUCGCUCCUCCUACCCUGCUGAGGAAUCUCUUCCCGAAACGUCGAAUACACAUUUUUUCCUUAGAUGCUGCCUGGUCUCACGGGUUCCUACAGCAUUUUGUGUGUGGUACAGCGUUAAUGGCUGGUUUGUUAGCAUUGCAGAGGAACAAAGAGAUAAUAGGAUCCCUCAAAGUUUCCACACAAGUUGAUAGGGUGGUUAAGUAGGCAAAAGGAGUGUUGGUAUUUAUUAAUCAGCAGCUUCAGUUCAGUUCAAGAAGGACUCAGGCCGAAACGUUGAAUACACUCUAUUCCAUUGAUGCUGCCUGGCCUGAGAGGUUUCUACAGCAUUUUGUAUAGGAUUUGACCAAUUUGACCCCAAAUCCUAUUUGACCUCCCUCUCUCCCUCUCCCCCUGUCUCCUCUUUCUCACUCCGUCCCUCGCUCUCCAUCCCUCUCUCCCUCUCCCUCUUUCUCUCUCUCGCUCACCAUCAACAUCUCUAUAUCUCUUUCUCCCACAUGCCCUCUGUCCCUCCAUCUUUCCCUCACAAUGUCUCUCCCUCUCUCCCCCUCUCUCCCUCUCCCCCUCUCCUCCUCUACAGGUAACGGUGAUGGUUUGUGAAAUGUGUGCAGGAUAGUUUUUUGCAACAAUACAUAGAAGUACUGACUGGACAUGGGGCAGUGUUGGAUCACCUGUCAGGGAAUGCGAUAGGUCAGCUGAAAGAUGUAUGUGUUGGGGAGCACUUCGGGUCCAGUGAUCACAAUAGCACUAGCUUCAAUAUAAUUAUGGAGAAGGACAGGGCAGGACCUAGAGUUGAGAUUUUUGAUUGGACAAAGGCUAAAUUUGAGGAGAUGUGAAGGAAUUUAGAGUGAGUGGAUUGGGUCAAGUUGUUUUAUGGAAGGAUGUAAUAGAGAAAUGGAGGUCAUUUAAGGGUGAAAUUAUGAGGGUACAGAAUCUUUAUGUUCCUGUUAGGUUGAAAGAAAAGCUUAAAGGUUUGGAAGCACCAUGGGUUUCAAGGGAUAUUAGAAAUUUGGUUCGGAAAAAGAGGGAUGUCUACAAUAGAUAUAGGCAGCAUGGAGUAAAGGAAUGGCUCGAGGAAUAUAAAAAAAAAUUAAAAUGAAUCUUUAGAAAGAGAUUAGAAAAGCUAAAAGAAGAUACGAGGUUGGUUUGGCAAAUAAGGUGAAAGUAAAUCCGAAAGGUUUCUACAGUUAUAUUAAAAGCAAGAGGAUAGUGAGGGAUAAAAUUGGCCCCUUAGAGAAUCAGAGUGGUCAGCUAUGUGUGGAGCCGAGGGAGAUGGGAGAGAUUUUGAACGAUUUCUUCUCUUCGGUAUUCACUAAGGCGAAGGAUAUUGAAUUGUGUAAGGUGUGGGAAACAAGUAAGGAAGUUAUGGAACCUAUGACAAUUAAAGAGGUGGAAGUACUGGCGCUUUUAAGAAAUUUAAAAAGUGGAUAAAUCUCCGAGUCCUGACAGGAUAUCCCCAGGACAUUAAGGGAAGAUUGCGUAGAAAUAGCAGUAGCUCUGACGGAGAUCUUUAAGAUGUCAUUAAAAACGGGGAUUGUGCCGGAGGAUUGGCGGAUUGCUCAUGUGGUUCCAUUGUUUAAAAAGAGUUCUAGAAGUAAGCCUAGCAAUUAUAGACCUGUCAGUUUGACAUCAGUUGGGGUAAAUUAAAGGGAAGUAUUCUUAGAGAUAGUAUUAAUAAUUAUCUGGAUAGACAGGAUCUGAUUAGGAGUAGCCAGCAUGGAUUUGUGCGUGGAAAAUCAUGUUUGUCAAACCUUAUUAAAUUUCUUGAAGAGGUUACGAAGAAUGUUGACGAGGGUAAGGUAGUGGAUGUCGUCUAUAUGGACUUCAGCAAAGGUUUUGACAAAGUUCCACAUGGAAGGUUAGUUAAGAAGGUUCAGUCGUUAGGUAUUAAUGCUGGAGUAGUAAAAUGGAUUCAACAGUGGCUAGAUGGGAGAUGCCAGAGAGUAGUGGUGGAUAAUUGUUUAUCGGGAUGGAGGCCGGUGACUAGCGGGGUGCCACAGGGUUCUGUUUUGGGCCCAAUGUUGUUUGUAAUACACAUAAAUGAUCUGGAUGAUAGGGGGGUAAAUUGGAUUAGUAGGUAUGCCGAUGAUAAUAAGGUAGGAGGUGUUGUGGAUAAUGAGGUGGGUUUUCAAAGCUUGCAGGGAGAUUUAUGCCUGUUAGAAGAAUGGGCUGAGCGUUGGUAGAUGGAGUUUAAUGCUGAGAAGUGUGAGGUUCUACAUUUUUGCAGGAAUAAUCCAAAUAGAACAUACAGGGUAAAUGGUAGGGCAUUGAGGAAUGCAGAAGAACUGAGAGAUGCAGGAAUAACAGUGCAUAGUUUCCUGAAGGUGGAGUCUCAUGUAGAUAGGUUGAUGAAGAAGGCUUUUGGAACGCUGGCCUUUAUAAAUCAAAGCACUGAGUACAGAAGUUGGAAUGCAAUGUUAAAAUUGUACAAGGCAUUGGUAAGGCCAAAUUCAGAAUAUUGUGUGCAGUUCUGAUCAGCGAAUUAUAGGAAAGAUAUCAAUAAAUUAGAGAGAGUGUAGAGACGAUUUACUGGGAUGUUACCUGGGUUUCAGCACUGACGUUACAGAAAAGGUUGAACAAGUUAGGUCUCUAUUCAUUGGAGCGUAGAAGGUUGAGAGGGGAUUUGAUCGAGGUAUUUAAAAUUUUGAGAGGGAUAGAUAGAGUUGACGUGCAUAGGCUGUUUCCAUUGAGAGUACGGGAGAUUCAAACGACAGGACAUGAUUUGAGAAUUAGGGGGCAGAAGUUUAAGGGAAACACGAGGGGGUAUUUCUUUACUUAGAGAGUGAUAACUGUGUGGAAUGAGCUUCCUGUAGAAGUAGUAGAGACCAGUUCAGUUGUGUCAUUUAAGGUAAAAUUGGAUAAGUAUAUGGACAGGAAAGGAGUGGAGGGUUAUGGGCUGAAUGCGGAUAGGUGGGUCUAGGUGAGAUUAAGAGAUCGCCACGGACUAGGAGGGCCGAGAUGGCCUGUUUCCGUGCUGUGAUUGUUAUAUGUGUUUUCUUAUCAGUUGAAAAACAGUUAAAAUUCUGCUCAUGGUUGCAGAGAGAUGAAGAAGCUGUGGUACAGAAAGAGGAUACAACCUGGUGAAGGAAAGGACAGGUUUUGACGGGAGCAGAAGUGGUUGAUACAGAGACCAUAUACUCCAUGAUCAGCCAGUUUUAUCAGAACCGGGAAGGAGUAAACUAUUUGCCAUAAGCUUGAACUUCGUCGAGGCAAGAGGCAAGUUGUAAAAGGGAUUUAUCUGGGAUUCUGAGAACAUUGAUGCCAUCGAGAUAAAUUUUAAAGGGCUGCUUUGUAAUUUAAGGCAACACUGACAAAAUGCUGAAGGAACAUCAGACCAGUCAGCAACUAUAGAAAGGAGUAAUCAGUCGACCUUUCAGGCUCCAGCCUUUAUCGUAACUCUAGUUGUCUGUGUUGCUUUGUAUUUGGAGCAUCUGCAGACGUUCACGGGAUGUUCUGUAACUUUGUCCAUCGUAUUGCUGCAAUUUGCCCUCAGGCUGGGGUGCAGAAUAAGAGCAUGAAGGUAUCUGAAUUGUUCUACUGUACUGCCUUUAUUUCUGGAGUUUAAUGAAUAUCAAUAUCCGAUUCAGUGGGCAUAUCACCGCAUUCCUGAAUUGCUCUCGGAAUUUGCUCUGAGUUAGGACGUAGAUGCAGGUGUUGGUGCAGGAGCUGAGAAUCUGCAGCAUUACCGAUAUUUCUUCUGUGAUGUAACGGGGAUCCUUGACAGAAUAAUAAACAAAACUCAUAGAAAUCCGUCUAUAGAUAUAAAAUAUCAGCUGCGUUCCCCACAACAAUAUGAAACAUCCGGUAAUGCUGAAGAGCAAAACGAUGGAUUUGCGUCUGUUCUCCAUUUCCAGGUCCUUCUCAGUCUCUCCACUCUUUUGUCCCCGGAGCCUCCUGCGGGCUCGACUGGCCGCUAGAAUCCGCCUGGCAGUCUGAAUAUUGAACAACAAAAUCAGAAAGAAUGGGACACAAGGUGUUAAAAUGCGGUGAAACAUCUCAAAUGCCGCCCAUGAGGGAGAGUGUUUGUAGUUUGGUGUAUGAAUACAAUACCAGGGCAUACCAUCAAUUAUUACCAAAGGCUCGUAUAUAAAGCCCCAGGGAACUCUCCAAACAAGCCAGCACAGUCACUGUCCCGAUAACCACAACCGCCGUA